ACAGCCUGGGCAACCAAGAUGGAGUCACACACCCAGGUCUUCAUAUUCCUGCUCCUCUGGUUGUCUGGUGCUGAAGGGAACAUUGUGAUGACCCAGUCUCCUGAAUUCAUGUCCACAUCUGUUGGAGAGAGAAUCACCCUAAGCUGCAAGUCCAGUCAGAGUGUGGGUGGUUAUGUAGCUUGGUACCAGCAGAAACCAGGGCAACCUCUUAAACUGCUAAUCUAUGAUGCGUCCAAUCGAUACACUGGGGUCCCUGAUCGCUUCACAGGCAGUGGAUCUGGGACAGAUUUCACUCUCAGCAUUAGCAGUGUGCAGGCUGAAGACCUGGCAGUUUAUUACUGUCAGCAGUAUAGUAGCUCUCCUCCCACACUGACAUCUGUCAGUAGUAACUGUAUGGAGAGUGUUGGUGUGACCAUACUGUCCUGCACUGUUGUUGAUAGUAAGGCUCUGGUCUCUGCUGUGGGUAGUUGUUACCCCAUGAUCAUCCAUGCCACUGAUUCCAUCGAUUGUCACUUGGCCAUCCUCGUCUGUUAUCCCUAUCUCUAA